GGAAGUUCGUUUUGGCCUUCGAGCCGCGAAACUCACGCGCCGCGGCGUCGUAAGCCCUGGCGGCUUCCUCAGCGGUAUCGAAGGUGCCAAGCCACACGCGGCUCUUCUUCCCGGGGUCUCUUAUCUCGGCAGCGUAUCGGCCCCAAGGCCUCUUUCUAACUCCUCUGUAAUGCACCUCUUUCUUAUUGUUGCUCCUGUUGUCAAUGUUUUUCCUGUUGCCACUAAUUGUUCUCUCUUUUGGUGCCAUUGUUUUUUUUUUUCUUUCUGUUUUUCCCUUUGAAAGUGUGUGCUGUUUUUGUUUUGGAGAGGAAAGGGGGGGCAAAUUGUGGGAUUUUAUAAAGGAAGUUGGGGAAAAAGAAAGGGGCAAUGUGGUUGUGGUUGUGGGGGAGUGCGCGGUCAAUGCGGGAUUUGACUGAGGCGCCGCCCAAGCGAGUGAGAGAGAGGGGACAAUAUGAUAACGUUGUUUGUCUUGUGAUACGUGGCACGCGGGAUUAUCGAGACAAGCGGCGGGCUUGAGGUACUCUUUCAUCCGUGCCGGCAUUUGCCUAACGGUGUCGUUAUUGCCUCCCUUGACUUUUUGCGUGAUUUUUAUAUACAUGUACACACGCUCUCUCUCAAACGCGCAAACAUUAAACACCACGCUCCUAUCCUAUGCUUGCAUUUAUUUUAUUUUAUUUAUAAACAUCCCCUUAAAAUAUAUAUAUUUGCGUGUUUGUGAAUGUAUAAUAUUAAUUAUUAAUUAUCAGCUAUAUGUCAAGAAAUGUUUUGAAAUGACUUUUAGAUUUGCUAGAGCUUUUCUUUGAAGUUGCAUAUUGUAUUCAUGGAUUGCCUAUUAAAACCCUCCCAAUGCAGAAAUUUAUUCUUUUAGGAUAUAAAUUAAACCUUGAUUCUUUAAUUAAAAUCACUUAUUACAUAAUUAAGCAAAACAUUUUACUUGCAUUUUUUGUUAUUUAUCUAUAAAUAUUAUCCUUUUUUUUUUUAAUAGAUGAGCAUACGAGACGUGAUUUAAUCAGAUUUUUAUAAGGUGCCGAUAUUAUUAUACUAUAAUUAAUGAAUACCAUCAAAAUAUUAAAUUGAUUUUCCACCUCAGUAAAAGACAGGAUUAUAGAUCAUAGAAAGUUUAAUGCACGCCACAGUUAAUGGCGUGAGAAAGUAAUAAAGGUUUUGAGUGGAUUAGCUGACGAUUAAUUCUUAACAUCUGUCAGUGUUGUCAGCCAUCGCCGUCUCUCUCUGAAUUAAAUUUAAACCUAUGGAAUCGCUCUUUUAGACCGACAGCUAAAAGAAGUGAUCAUAACAACUACUUAAAAUGCGCCACGCGUCCCUUUUUAUGCUCGACGCGUCCUUAACGCCAGCUCCCCCGUCAAUUGUUUCGGUGUUAUCGCCUAAUUGCGACUGUCUUUGUCCAGUGACAGAUUUUCUUUGAGCGCGUGGAUUUGAAAUGACUCUUACUACCGUGUUGAUGCGCGUGCAGUGUAGUGAACGUAGUACUCUCUUUGCGAUUGGGGAUUGAUCAAAACGAGAUCCCGGAGCACGUGAGCCGUGCCAAACAAAAUAGUUAGUUAAUAUAUGAAUUUUUUUUUUCCGUAUAGAUAAUUAAGAUAUAUAAAUUCAGCACAAAUUGAUGAUGAAUCGAGAUUCUAAGCCAUUAAACAGCUAAGAUACCGCACUUUACUGACACGUGUUAUGCGUCGGCUGCUUAAAGUUGUUGAACAGUGUUAGCUAAUAAGAGUAGAGAUGGCAAUGGGUGCAACAGUAAUCGGCACGAUACGAAUAUAUUUCGACAGGGCACGUGGCACGAUAUGAUAUAUAUGUGGGCUGCACUGAGUCAGAUUUAGAAUUUUAGGCACGCCGGCCUUAAAAGUAAGGCACAAUUAGAGAUGAGUUAAGCAUAGCACGAUAAAAAAGGUCCGUAAUAAACACGUUUUAUGUUUAAUGAAGGUAAAUUUAAAAUUUUAUAAUUUUAUAAAUAGCUUGAAAUUAAAUUUUUUAAAUUUAUUUAAUUCUUAUCUUCUUCCCGGGGUCUCUUAUCUCGGCAGCGUAUCGGCCCCAAGGCCUCUUUCUAACUCCUCUGUAAUGCACCUCUUUCUUAUUGUUGCUCCUGUUGUCAAUGUUUUUCCUGUUGCCACUAAUUGUUCUCUCUUUUGGUGCCAUUGUUUUUUUUUUUCUUUCUGUUUUUCCCUUUGAAAGUGUGUGCUGUUUUUGUUUUGGAGAGGAAAGGGGGGGCAAAUUGUGGGAUUUUAUAAAGGAAGUUGGGGAAAAAGAAAGGGGCAAUGUGGUUGUGGUUGUGGGGGAGUGCGCGGUCAAUGCGGGAUUUGACUGAGGCGCCGCCCAAGCGAGUGAGAGAGAGGGGACAAUAUGAUAACGUUGUUUGUCUUGUGAUACGUGGCACGCGGGAUUAUCGAGACAAGCGGCGGGCUUGAGGUACUCUUUCAUCCGUGCCGGCAUUUGCCUAACGGUGUCGUUAUUGCCUCCCUUGACUUUUUGCGUGAUUUUUAUAUACAUGUACACACGCUCUCUCUCAAACGCGCAAACAUUAAACACCACGCUCCUAUCCUAUGCUUGCAUUUAUUUUAUUUUAUUUAUAAACAUCCCCUUAAAAUAUAUAUAUUUGCGUGUUUGUGAAUGUAUAAUAUUAAUUAUUAAUUAUCAGCUAUAUGUCAAGAAAUGUUUUGAAAUGACUUUUAGAUUUGCUAGAGCUUUUCUUUGAAGUUGCAUAUUGUAUUCAUGGAUUGCCUAUUAAAACCCUCCCAAUGCAGAAAUUUAUUCUUUUAGGAUAUAAAUUAAACCUUGAUUCUUUAAUUAAAAUCACUUAUUACAUAAUUAAGCAAAACAUUUUACUUGCAUUUUUUGUUAUUUAUCUAUAAAUAUUAUCCUUUUUUUUUUUAAUAGAUGAGCAUACGAGACGUGAUUUAAUCAGAUUUUUAUAAGGUGCCGAUAUUAUUAUACUAUAAUUAAUGAAUACCAUCAAAAUAUUAAAUUGAUUUUCCACCUCAGUAAAAGACAGGAUUAUAGAUCAUAGAAAGUUUAAUGCACGCCACAGUUAAUGGCGUGAGAAAGUAAUAAAGGUUUUGAGUGGAUUAGCUGACGAUUAAUUCUUAACAUCUGUCAGUGUUGUCAGCCAUCGCCGUCUCUCUCUGAAUUAAAUUUAAACCUAUGGAAUCGCUCUUUUAGACCGACAGCUAAAAGAAGUGAUCAUAACAACUACUUAAAAUGCGCCACGCGUCCCUUUUUAUGCUCGACGCGUCCUUAACGCCAGCUCCCCCGUCAAUUGUUUCGGUGUUAUCGCCUAAUUGCGACUGUCUUUGUCCAGUGACAGAUUUUCUUUGAGCGCGUGGAUUUGAAAUGACUCUUACUACCGUGUUGAUGCGCGUGCAGUGUAGUGAACGUAGUACUCUCUUUGCGAUUGGGGAUUGAUCAAAACGAGAUCCCGGAGCACGUGAGCCGUGCCAAACAAAAUAGUUAGUUAAUAUAUGAAUUUUUUUUUUCCGUAUAGAUAAUUAAGAUAUAUAAAUUCAGCACAAAUUGAUGAUGAAUCGAGAUUCUAAGCCAUUAAACAGCUAAGAUACCGCACUUUACUGACACGUGUUAUGCGUCGGCUGCUUAAAGUUGUUGAACAGUGUUAGCUAAUAAGAGUAGAGAUGGCAAUGGGUGCAACAGUAAUCGGCACGAUACGAAUAUAUUUCGACAGGGCACGUGGCACGAUAUGAUAUAUAUGUGGGCUGCACUGAGUCAGAUUUAGAAUUUUAGGCACGCCGGCCUUAAAAGUAAGGCACAAUUAGAGAUGAGUUAAGCAUAGCACGAUAAAAAAGGUCCGUAAUAAACACGUUUUAUGUUUAAUGAAGGUAAAUUUAAAAUUUUAUAAUUUUAUAAAUAGCUUGAAAUUAAAUUUUUUAAAUUUAUUUAAUUCUUAGUUAAAAAACUAUAAUUGAUUUAUAUUUAUAAUUUAUUAAAUAAAUAUUUUAUGUCAUGAUUUUAAGGAAUAAAAUUAUAAAUAUUACAAUUUUAUAAAUAUGCAUUAAUAUUAUUGUGAAUUAUGAUCUAUGACUCUAUGUAAGUCCAAGUUAUGUAUCAAAAAAAAAAUCCAAGUUAACAAUUAAGUUAACCCUUAAGAAAAAUUUAUUAAUAUUAUUGUUGUUAAGUAUUAAAAAAAUUCUAAUACUAUAAGGUCAAACUUAGUAAGUAAUAUUACGUUCUCUUACUAUUAUUAUUUUAUUAUCAUUGAAUGUGGAUUUGAAUUUUAAAUUUUUGAUUCUAUUAAAUUUGAAUAAAGGGAUAAACCUAAAAAAAGUACAUAAACUAGAAAAAAAGAAGACCAAUAGCUUGGCAUGUGCUCUUAAUUUUUUUUUUUAUAAAAAAAACUUAUCGGGUUUUUUUUUCUUAGGCACGACACGAGUGGACACGACAUGUAUUCGGGCCAGGCCUUAGUAAAAAAAAAAUUAGGCACGGCACGACACGAAACACAUAGUGGGCACGGCACGGGCAUGAGCACGCAUGGGCCUUACUUUGUCAGCCCGACCCAUUGACCAUCUCUAAAUCAGGGAAAUGAUGGGGUAUUAAAAUCUUAUUUUAAAUAAUAUGGCAUGUGAAAUGCCAUUAAUUAACUGGUUAGUGAUAUUUUAUAAAUUUUAAGUGAAUUAUUUAUAUUAUUUUAUUAAUUAAUGAAUGAAUUACAUAUCAUUGGAAUAAAAUUUAAGAUGUAAUAAUAAAUAUCGAUGGUAAUUUUAGAAUAAAAUUUUGAGACAUAAAACCACCGCUCUCACUGACCUUAAAGUCUUCAGUUUUGCUUAUCUGACUGACUUUCUACAGUCGUCAUUGCGGGGAUAUAAUUUCAAGUUCUAAUCGAUUGUAGUAAGUAGCCAUCGCCCUCCAGUAGUAAAGAGAGGGAGCUUCUCUCUCUGGCAAUGUUAUUUUAUUCUCUGUCCAUAGCAUUUUUUUAAUGUAAUUUUCUUUGUUUUUUUUUUCUCUUUUUUCAUUUUCAUUGCAUUAUCCUUUUAUAUUUUUAUAGUUGGAUGUUGCAUAUCUACCAAUUUUGAGGUUCUUUCGAUGCCAGAGGUGGUGUUGUUUCAGCUUCUUUAUCAAAAUUGUGUCAAUGUUCAUAUCAGGAUGACAUGCCUGUAUUUGAGUCAUUGAGGGGUUCUAAUAGUUGUUGCAUUGAGAACUUGGUGGUUGGGAUGAGCAAACAAUGGCAUAGGACAAGGGUUUAUCAAGAGGCCUUUGAGGAUUACUCUAAGAGAGGCAAUUUUAUUUGUUGUUUGUAUUUUGUUUUAAUAUUAUGGGACCAUUUCAAACUAUUUUUGAAUGCAUGGUGGUCUUGAAGUCAACUUACUCGUUCAUUCUCCUCAUGUUUCUAUGAUUCUUUAUUAUUGAUAGGGAUUAUCUCUACGUUCCCACCCUGUUGACUUCGUGUCCUUGACCAAUUCAUGGCCUUGGCCGAGAGUUCCUAAUUUGCCACCUCAACGAAUCCUCAAUUCGUACCUAAUAAUCUUCGAUCCUACCUUUAAAGGAUCCGAUUUUUCUCUUGGAGAUCUUGUCCCCUCGAAGUGGUGCAAGUGAUUACUUUCCAUAUCAACAGGUUAUAAUGUCCAACAACAACAAAACCAAGCCUAGGAAAACUCUUCUUUCAUUCUUUACUAAAGUAGAUGAUGGUAAAUCAUCAAAUGAGAGAAGUUAUAUGUACAACAUUGAUGCCUCAAGUUCUCCACCCAAGUAUCAAAGAGUCGAAUUUGAGAAAGUUGAUACUUCAUCUACUAUUGAGACCUUUAUUUAGAAUGUAAUCCCCAAUUAUAUUUUUUAAUGAUUACUUUUUCUAUUAACAAACAUGAAGAUGUGCAGAUUGUGUAUUUAAUUAUGAGACCAUUUCAACCUAAGCUACAAAACUAUCCAUUCACUAAACAUGGCAUACAAAAUCAUUGAUUUUGCUCAUCGACCACAACUCAUAUCAAUUACGAUAUCUAAUGAAGUGCAUGAGGUACAACUCUUUUUUUUCUAAGUUGAGUUCUAUUUUUAACAUUGCUAGUGCUUCUUUCAAACUUUAUUUUGAGUUCAAAUCUAUCAAAGAAAAAGAAAUUAUAGAUUUGAUAGCUUUAGAAUAGCUUAAGAGUAGUGUCGGCUGAUCAAGUUAGAACUUUACAAAGGGCCAAAGAUACUUGUUUGACCUGACAUUUUAUUUCAGUUAAUACGUUUAUUGAGAAGUUUGGUGCAACUUUUGAAGUUUUAGGAAAGAUGAUUAACAAUGGAUCUAGUCAAUAUAUGCGUGGAGAAGCUAAAUGUCCAUACAAGGAGCUGAUCAAUCCUUUGAGUUUGUGUUCAUUUAGCUUUUGUUGAAUAAAUUCCUUGGAAUUUUUGACAUAAUUUGUCGAUCAUUACAAACAAAAUCAUUGGACAUCAUGAAUGCUUUGAAUUGUCUCAAGUAUAAAAAGACUUUUGUAAGAGUUUUGAGAGAGUAGAUGAAUUAAUUUUAUUAGAAGUGUGGUAUCCUUCCGCGAAAAGUGAAAAAUAUGAUGUUAUUAUGCUUGAUAUAAGUGUUUGUUAUUCAGAAGGGCGCUCCUGUUAACAAAAAGAAUAUGUUACAGUUGAACAUCAUUGUCACCUUGAUAAAUUUAACGCUAUAGUAAAUUUUCAAUUGAUGGAGUUAAAUUGUAGAUUCUUUGAUCAAACUAUGAACUCCUUACUUAGAACUGGACUUUGGUUUCAAUUGAUGAGCGCAAAUAAUUUGAUAUGGACGAUAUUUGCUCUCUUGCUAACAAAUUUUAUCCUCAUGAUUAAUUUAUUCCAAAUGAAGUGCUUGCUUUGAGAAGAGAAUUAGAACAUUAUAAAAUUGUUGUGCUUUCUCAUCCUCGGUUUCAAAUCAUUACUUUCCUUUCUUAGCUAUGUUGAUGAUUAGUUGAAGCAAAAAGGUCACAACAUCAUUUUUUGAUUGACAGAUUAAUUCAUCUAGUGUUGACUUUUACUGUUUCCACAACCGCAAUAGAGUAUGCAAUUUCAACAAUGGAAUUUCUCAAGAUAUUAUUUUUUAGCAAGAUGGAAAAUGAGUUUUCCCCCCCGAUUGUAUAGUUAUCUAUGUUGAAAAAUAAAUUAUUGAUUUUAUUGACUCAAAUUCUAUAAUUGAUGAUUUUUAUAAUUCGAAGCAUCAAAAAGUACAACUUGAGUAAUGGUUUUGUAUUUGAAUUAUAUUUUUAUUUUAUACUCCUUUCUUUUAUAGUUAUUUUUGUUUACAAUAUGAAUUUUAGGGAUAAGACUCCUAAUAUUCUCUCCUUAAUAGGUGUAUUUUGUCAGUUAUGUAUGAAAUUUCAUGUUCACUUAGUAUAAAUUUAUUGUUUUUUUAAUUUUACCCCAGGGUACUAUGAAGGCUUGUAAUAAGGAGCCAUAAAAGUCGGAUGUUGCCGUGAAACCAAAGUUAAUGGGUAAAGUUCAAAAGAUAAUAAUUUUGUUAAAAAUAGUAAGAGUCACAAGGUUUCUCAUCAAUACAUCAAAUCCCUUGGACACAGUUCAAGUGUUUAAGAGUUGUGGCUUAAUGAAAGCUUAAAUUAGUAACUACUGCUUCCAAACAAUAGAACCAUGUUUUAGAAUUUGAUCCAUAUUUUAUAUUACCAAUACUUAAUAAAUUAACCUAGUUCAAUUUGACAAAAUUACCACAGGGAGAAUGCUCCUGAACGAAGCAUAAAUCUCUUCUUUGUUCCAAGAUCCAAACUAAUUGCUGAUGCUUGGGUAUAUGAACCAAAAUAAUGGCUUACUAAAUCCAAUAUUUAUAUUGUUGAAGUCAACAAAUUAUUGGUGUAAAUUUGUUGAAGUCAACAAAUUGUUGAUUUUGUAAAGCCAAAAAGAAAGAAUGGGGGAUGGAUUUGAAAAAUAAUAAUAAUUAAAAAUUAUAUUUUUAAUUAUUUUAUUCUUAGCAUAGUAAUUCAUUUCUCCUAUAAAUAGCUAAGGAUUUCAUUCAUUUGAAAUCAUCCCAAAUUUAUUAAGCUUAUAAGUUUCUAAGCUUUUGAGAGAAGUGAGAGAAGUGUGUCUGGGGAAUUUAUCUUUUCUGCAGAGUGUGAGAGUACUGGGUAUAUUUGGGUUUCUGGGAAGUGAGAUUAGUUACUCAAAUAUUUGUACUCUAUUAAUUGUUAAAUAAACAAUUAUUCUUUCUUGCCUCCGUGGAUGUAGGUUUAAUUACCGAACCACGUAAUUCUUGUGUCCUUUAUUUUUCUAUAAUUAUUUGGUGCGUUUGAUUCCGCAUUCCGCGCACAAGUGGUAUCAGAGCCGACGGUUCAUACUUGGGGGGAUAUGGCACUGUUCACGUAUACGGUACUAUUCCCGUAUACGGUACUCUUCACAUACGGUACUGUUCACGAAUACGGUGGAGACGACCAUUUGUACUUGGGAGACAGUCUAUUGUAAGUAAUGUGUAUUUUUGCAUGUCUAGGAAAGUUUUGUCAACAAAGGCAAUAAGAGUCUAAGGAUUUUGGUUUUU
rnacentral:lncRNA from 1 species